AUGACCUUCAGUAUCAUCUUCAUCUGGACUAUUGCAUUUUUUAUUCAGGAAUCAAAAGGAGUCACUCUAACUCAACCUGAAGUUAAAACUGUUCAACAGGGUCAAACGGCCACAAUAGAGUGUCAAAUAGAUGUUGGGAUACGCUACAACUACUUAGCCUGGUAUCAGCAGAAACCCGGAGAAUCUCCUAAACUUCUUAUAUAUUAUAUAAAUACUCUUCAGUCUGGAACUCCAUCUAGAUUCAGUGGCAGUGGAACAGCAAAUACUGGAAGAGAUUUCACUCUGACCAUCAGUGGAGUUCAGACUGAAGAUAUAGGAGAUUAUUACUGUCAGAGUGUACACAAGAUCAUUGAUAGCUGGGUGUUCACACAGUGA